rfam:Candidatus Magasanikbacteria bacterium RIFOXYC2_FTLL_42_28 rifoxyc2_full_scaffold_83, whole genome shotgun sequence.
UAUUUAUCAAGAAGAGACGAGGGAAUUGGCCCGUUGACUCUCUACCAACCUAACUUCGGUUAAGGUGGUAAUUCCAAACCCAUUAGGGGAAAGAUAUGUC